AGUAGAGAAGUGACCUGCUUUGUACUUUAUCAGGUGCUCUGUUUGAAAUUUACCUCAGGGCCCCUGUGCAAGUACAUAGCUGGUUGUUCUCAUCCUCGCCGA
rnacentral:pre_miRNA from 1 species